GACGAACGCUGGCGGCGUGCCUAAUACAUGCAAGUCGAACGCUGAAGGAGGAGCUUGCUUCUCUGGAUGAGUUGCGAACGGGUGAGUAACGCGUAGGUAACCUGCCUGGUAGCGGGGGAUAACUAUUGGAAACGAUAGCUAAUACCGCAUAAUAGUAGAUGUUGCAUGACAUUUGCUUAAAAGGUGCAAUUGCCUCACUACCAGAUGGCCCUGCGUUGUAUUAGCUAGUUGGUGAGGUAACGGCUCACCAAGGCGACGAUACAUCGCCGACCUGAGAGGGGGAUCGGCCACACUGGGACUGAGACACGGCCCAGACUCCUACGGGAGGCAGCAGUAGGGAAUCUUCGGCAAUGGACGGAAGUCUGACCGAGCAACGCCGCGUGAGUGAAGAAGGGUUUCGGAUCGUAAAGCUCUGUUGUAAGAGAAGAACGAGUGUGAGAGUGGAAAGUUCACACUGUGACGGUAGCUUACCAGAAAGGGACGGCUAACUACGUG
rnacentral:rRNA from 1 species